rnacentral:rRNA from 1 species
GAUGAACGCUGGCGGCGUGCUUAACACAUGCCAGUCGAACGGACAGGCAAUGCUUUUGCGGGGUGCUCGAGUGGCGAGCGGGGGAGAGACACGCGAGGAAAAUGCCCUUGAAUUUGGGGUAAAUCCCGGGAACAGGGGCGAAUACGGGAGAGGAGCUCCAGAUGCACGGGGGGGGUUGGAGAGAGUCGGCGGUGGGAGAUGGACUAGCGGGUCAUCAGCUUGUUGGGGAAGUAGUGGCGUACGAAGGCUAUGACGGGUAGCCGGCCUGGGAGCGUGACCGGCCACCUUGGGACUACGGUACGGCGCAGACUCGUACGGGAGGCAGCAGUGGGGAAUAUUGCGCAGUGGGCGGAAGCCUGAGGCAGCAACGCCGCGUGCGGGAUGACGGGCUUCGGGUUGUAAACCGCUUUCGACUGUGACGAAGCGUGAGUGACGGUACUGAAUAAGGAAGCACCGGCUAACUACGUG